AUGCUGUGCUAUUGUGUUUUUGCUGACAGUCAGUUGAGCAAAGGUCUUGCUCCGGGUUUCGUCUGUAUCUUAGAGUCUGGAACACCUCUCCCAGCUGAAGGUCCCACCACUGGCAGCAUCAUUGGAGCCAUCAUUGGGGUCAUUAUAAUCAUAGCAAUCAUUGGAACAGUCAUUGCAGUGUUCCGCAAGCACAAGAACAACAUCAUGAACAAAGACGGUCCACCCAAACACAAGCCCCCUCCCCCUAAGAAGACUGUAAAUUAUCAGUCCCAGGUAAGUCUUUGCCAAAUGCAGACAUGGAGUCUUAAAACAGUUGAGGUUGCCAAACAAAUGGCAAAAAUAUCACAAAUAUUGGAUCCAAUUUAA
rnacentral:lncRNA from 1 species